rnacentral:rRNA from 1 species
UACGGAGGGUGCAAGCGUUGUUCGGAAUUACUGGGCGUAAAGAGCGUGUAGGCGGUUGACUAAGUCAGGUGUGAAAUCCCUUGGCUCAACCAAGGACGUGCAUCUGAAACUGGUCUACUUGAGUACGGGAGAGGAGAGUGGAAUUCCUGGUAUAGAGGUGAAAUUCGUAGAUAUCAGGAGGAACACCGGUGGCGAAGGCGACUCUCUGGACCGAUACUGACGCUGAGACGCGAAAGCGUGGGGAGCAAACAGG